CGCUGGCGGCAGGCCUAACACAUGCAAGUCGAGCGGUAGCACAGGGAGCUUGCUCCUGGGUGACGAGCGGCGGACGGGUGAGUAAUGUCUGGGAAACUGCCUGAUGGAGGGGGAUAACUACUGGAAACGGUAGCUAAUACCGCAUAACGUCUUCGGACCAAAGAGGGGGACCUUCGGGCCUCUUGCCAUCAGAUGUGCCCAGAUGGGAUUAGCUAGUAGGUGAGGUAAUGGCUCACCUAGGCGACGAUCCCUAGCUGGUCUGAGAGGAUGACCAGCCACACUGGAACUGAGACACGGUCCAGACUCCUACGGGAGGCAGCAGUGGGGAAUAUUGCACAAUGGGCGCAAGCCUGAUGCAGCCAUGCCGCGUGUAUGAAGAAGGCCUUCGGGUUGUAAAGUACUUUCAGCGAGGAGGAAGGCAUUGUGGUUAAUAACCGCAGUGAUUGACGUUACUCGCAGAAGAAGCACCGGCUAACUCCGUGCCAGCAGCCGCGGUAAUACGGAGGGUGCAAGCGUUAAUCGGAAUUACUGGGCGUAAAGCGCACGCAGGCGGUCUGUCAAGUCGGAUGUGAAAUCCCCGGGCUCAACCUGGGAACUGCAUUCGAAACUGGCAGGCUAGAGUCUUGUAGAGGGGGGUAGAAUUCCAGGUGUAGCGGUGAAAUGCGUAGAGAUCUGGAGGAAUACCGGUGGCGAAGGCGGCCCCC
rnacentral:rRNA from 1 species